rnacentral:rRNA from 1 species
UACGUAGGGUGCAAGCGUUGUCCGGAAUUAUUGGGCGUAAAGAGCUCGUAGGCGGCUUGUCGCGUCGGCUGUGAAAGCCCGCGGCUUAACCGUGGGCUUGCAGCUGAUACGGGCGGGCUAGAGUUCGGUAGGGGAGACUGGAAUUCCUGGUGUAGCGGUGAAAUGCGCAGAUAUCAGGAGGAACACCGGUGGCGAAGGCGGGUCUCUGGGCCGAUACUGACGCUGAGGAGCGAAAGCGUGGGGAGCGAACAGG